AUUAGAAACUAUAUUAAGUGUUAAGGAUUUAGAUUACCAAACAUCCAGCAAUCAAAUUAUUGUUGGUUGGAAGAAUAAAUUUAGAGGAGGAAUUCAUGGAUUCGAUUAUUUUAAGCCUUAUAUAAGCACCCAUCCACAAGGCCACAACGUUCAUCAGUCAUCUACAAGAGUACCUGGAAAUACUAGUGUAUAUACAGCUACUAAUCUAAAUCUACAAGAGAAUAGAGAAUAUUAUAGUACUGUACUAGCUUAUAAUAAAGCAGGAUUAUUGAGCUGGGCCAAUAGUGAUGGAAUAUUAAUAGACAAUACAACUCCCACUUCUGGUAUUAUAUAUGAUGGUAAUGAUAUCUAUGAUAAAGAUUACCAAAACUCUACAACAGUUAUAUCAUCAUCGUGGUAUGGUUUUACUGAUAGUGGUACUGGUAUAGUUAAAUAUUACUGGUGUAUUGG